CAGGCCUAACACAUGCAAGUCGAACGGUAGCACAGAGAGCUUGCUCUUGGGUGACGAGUGGCGGACGGGUGAGUAAUGUCUGGGAAACUGCCUGAUGGAGGGGGAUAACUACUGGAAACGGUAGCUAAUACCGCAUAACGUCGCAAGACCAAAGAGGGGGACCUUCGGGCCUCUUGCCAUCAGAUGUGCCCAGAUGGGAUUAGCUAGUAGGUGGGGUAAUGGCUCACCUAGGCGACGAUCCCUAGCUGGUCUGAGAGGAUGACCAGCCACACUGGAACUGAGACACGGUCCAGACUCCUACGGGAGGCAGCAGUGGGGAAUAUUGCACAAUGGGCGCAAGCCUGAUGCAGCCAUGCCGCGUGUAUGAAGAAGGCCUUCGGGUUGUAAAGUACUUUCAGCGAGGAGGAAGGCAUUAAGGUUAAUAACCUUGGUGAUUGACGUUACUCGCAGAAGAAGCACCGGCUAACUCCGUGCCAGCAGCCGCGGUAAU
rnacentral:rRNA from 1 species